rnacentral:rRNA from 1 species
CGGACGGGUGAGUAACACGUGGAUAACCUACCUAUAAGACUGGGAUAACUUCGGGAAACCGGAGCUAAUACCGGAUAAUAUAUUGAACCGCAUGGUUCAAUAGUGAAAGACGGUUUUGCUGUCACUUAUAGAUGGAUCCGCGCCGCAUUAGCUAGUUGGUAAGGUAACGGCUUACCAAGGCAGCGAUGCGUAGCCGACCUGAGAGGGUGAUCGGCCACACUGGAACUGAGACACGGUCCAGACUCCUACGGGAGGCAGCAGAG